rnacentral:rRNA from 1 species
UACGGGGGGGGCAAGCGUUGUUCGGAAUUACUGGGCGUAAAGGGCUCGUAGGCGGCUUUAUAAGUCGGGGGUGAAAGCCUGUGGCUCAACCACAGAAUUGCCUUCGAUACUGUAGAGCUUGAGACCGGAAGAGGUAAGUGGAACUGCGAGUGUAGAGGUGAAAUUCGUAGAUAUUCGCAAGAACACCAGUGGCGAAGGCGGCUUACUGGUCCGGUUCUGACGCUGAGGCGCGAAAGCGUGGGGAGCAAACAGG